rnacentral:rRNA from 1 species
UUUAACAUGAGAGUUUGAUCCUGGCUCAGAAUCAACGCUGGCGGCGUGCCUAACACAUGCAAGUCGAACGCGAAAGCCCCGCAAGGGGUUAGUAGAGUGGCAAACG